rnacentral:lncRNA from 1 species
AGAAAUUGUGGACAUUGGUCAGCCAAGCCAUUAGAUCACCCAUGACCAUAUUAAGUAUAACAACUCCAUGGACAAACGUAAAGAUUGGUGGUGGAUAAUGAGGUUUGGAAACAAGAGUACUACAUCAUUAGCAACCUAGUUAGAAACCAUAAGCUUUUAAAGAGUGUCUUUGUUUGCUGCUGACUGCAUGUAGUAGGUAUCGCCC